rnacentral:rRNA from 1 species
AUUGAACGCUGGCGGCAUGCCUUACACAUGCAAGUCGAACGGCAGCACGGGUGCUUGCACCUGGUGGCGAGUGGCGAACGGGUGAGUAAUACAUCGGAACGUACCUUAUCGUGGGGGAUAACGCAGCGAAAGCUGUGCUAAUACCGCAUACGCCCUGAGGGGGAAAGCGGGGGAUCGAAAGACCUCGCGCGAUUAGAGCGGCCGAUGCCUGAUGAGCUUGUUGGGGGGGUAAAACCCCAGCAAGGCGACGAUCAGUGGCUGGUCUGAGAGGACGAUCAGCCACACUGGGACUGAGACACGGCCCAGACUCCUACGGGAGGCAGCAGUGGGGAAUUUUGGACAAUGGGGGCAACCCUGAUCCAGCAAUGCCGCGUGAGUGAAGAAGGCCUUCGGGUUGUAAAGCUCUUUUGUCAGGGAAGAAACACCGGCUCUAACACAGUCCGGGAAUGACGGUACCUGAAGAAUAAGCACCGGCUAACUACGUGCCAGCCGCCGCCGUAA